rnacentral:tRNA from 1 species
GCGCCCGUAGCUCAAUUGGAUAGAGCGUCUGACUACGGAUCAGAAGGUUGGGGGUUCGACUCCUCUCGGGCGUACAA